rnacentral:rRNA from 1 species
UACGUAGGGGGCGAGCGUUGUCCGGAAUUAUUGGGCGUAAAGAGCGUGUAGGCGGCUCGGUAAGUCCGCCGUGAAAACCCGGGGCUCAACCCUGGACUUGCGGUGGAUACUGUCGGGCUAGAGGAUGGUAGAGGCGAGUGGAAUUCCCGGUGUAGCGGUGAAAUGCGCAGAUAUCGGGAGGAACACCAGUAGCGAAGGCGGCUCGCUGGGCCAUUCCUGACGCUGAGACGCGAAAGCGUGGGGAGCGAACAGG